AACUGGGAUUAGAUACCCCACUAUGCUUAGCCCUAAAUCCAGGUACUUACCCAACCAAAGUAUCCGCCCGAGAACUACGAGCACAAACGCUUAAAACUCUAAGGACUUGGCGGUGCCCCAAACCCACCUAGAGGAGCCUGUUCUAUAAUCGAUAAUCCACGAUACACCCGGCCCCUUCUUGCCCAAAGCAGCCUACAUACCGCCGUCCCCAGCCCACCUCCCCUGAGAGAUCAACAGUGAGCACAACAACGCCACGCUAAUAAGACAGGUCAAGGUAUAGCCCAUGAAGGGGAAGAAAUGGGCUACAUUUUCUAAUAUAGAAAACCUACGAAAGGAGGCCUGAAAAACUUCCAGAAGGAGGAUUUAGUAGUAAAGAGGGACAAGAAUGCCCUCUUAAACUCGGCCCUGGGA
rnacentral:rRNA from 1 species